GACGAACGCUGGCGGCGUGCUUAACACAUGCAAGUCGAACGAAGUGGCGAACGGGUGAGUAAUACGUGGGUAACUGCCCUCCUUUUUGGGAUAAGCCUUGGAAACGGGGUCUAAUACCGAAUAAAGGGGGAGGGGCUAGCGGCCUAUCAGCUUGUUGGUGGGGUGCUGGCCUACCAAGGCGGUGACGGGUAGCCGGCCUGAGAGGGGACCGGCCAAAUGGCGAUGAGAUACGGCCCAGACUACUACGGGAGGCAGCAGUGGUGGAUAUUGCACAAUGGGCGAAAGCCUGACGCAGCAACGCCGCGUGAAGGAAGACGGUCGUCGGAUUGUAAACUUCUUUAGACAGGGACGCGUUACCUGUAGAAUAAGCCACGGCUAACUACGUGCCAGCCGCCGCGGUAAUAC
rnacentral:rRNA from 1 species